UGGGGAAUAUUGCACAAUGGGCGCAAGCCUGAUGCAGCAACGCCGCGUGGGGGAUGACGGCCUUCGGGUUGUAAACCUCUUUUAGUAGGGAAGAAGGGCUUCGGCUUGACGGUACCUGCAGAAAAAGGACCGGCUAACUACGUG
rnacentral:rRNA from 1 species